rnacentral:tRNA from 1 species
GAUAAGAUGGCUGAAUUUUUAGGUUAUAAAUUGUAAGUUUAUAUAUGGUAUUAUACCUCUUAUCA